rnacentral:rRNA from 1 species
GAGUGAACGCUGGCGGUAGGCCUAACACAUGCAAGUCGAACGGCAGCACAGUAAGAGCUUGCUCUUACGGGUGGCGAGUGGCGGACGGGUGAGGAAUACAUCGGAAUCUACUUUUUCGUGGGGGAUAACGUAGGGAAACUUACGCUAAUUCCGCAUACGACCUACGGGUGAAAGCAGGGGAUCUUCGGACCUUGCGCGAUUGAAUGAGCCGAUGUCGGAUUAGCUAGUUGGCGGGGUAAAGGCCCACCAAGGCGACGAUCCGUAGCUGGUCUGAGAGGAUGAUCAGCCACACUGGAACUGAGACACGGUCCAGACUCCUACGGGAGGCAGCAGUGGGGAAUAUUGGACAAUGGGCGCAAGCCUGAUCCAGCCAUACCGCGUGGGUGAAGAAGGCCUUCGGGUUGUAAAGCCCUUUUGUUGGGAAAGAAAAGCAGCAGGUUAAUACCCCGCUGUUCUGACGGUACCCAAAGAAUAAGCACCGGCUAACUUCGUG